GGCCUGUCAACAUCCGACUGCACACUGCUGCGACUGCUACUCCUCCACCUCACGGCCCGGAGGAGGCAGUGACUCGGCGGCUCUCGGCAAGAACCACACGACAGAAACAGUUCUUAGAGUCUAGCCACUGCUUUGGAGUUGACCAGCUUGAAGAUCCCUGCAUGUGGAUUAGUCCAUUUGAUGUAGCGGGGGCAGACCUGUCGAUCCUGCAGCAACUCCAUAAGGAACUGCCACAGCUGUGCUGCGGGCUUCUUUGUGUGCAACGAGUGCCAUUGUGACUGGUCAACAGGGCCCACGAUCCCCUCUGCUGACACAGUUACCUGGGUAACAGGAGCAGUGAUGACAUCACCCAGUGAUGGUCCAGUUUUUGGAGAGAAUCUCUCGAUGGCUGUCAGUGUAGGUCUACCAGAGAGCUUCCCCCAGCUUGCGAGGAGGCUG